rnacentral:tRNA from 1 species
AGGGGUGUAGCUCAAUUGGCAGAGCAGCCGUCUCCAAAGCGGCAGGUUGCAGGUUCGAUUCCUGUCGCCCCUGC